rnacentral:rRNA from 1 species
UACGUAGGGGGCUAGCGUUGUCCGGAAUCAUUGGGCGUAAAGCGCGCGCAGGCGGUCCUUUAAGUCUGAUGUGAAAGCCCACGGCUCAACCGUGGAGGGUCAUUGGAAACUGGGGGACUUGAGUACAGAAGAGAAGAGUGGAAUUCCACGUGUAGCGGUGAAAUGCGUAGAGAUGUGGAGGAACACCAGUGGCGAAGGCGACUCUUUGGUCUGUAACUGACGCUGAGGCGCGAAAGCGUGGGGAGCAAACAGG